rnacentral:rRNA from 1 species
AGAGUUUGAUCCUGGCUCAGAAUCAACGCUGGCGGCGUGCCUAACACAUGCAAGUCGCACGAGAAAGUGGAGCAAUCCAUGAGUAAAGUGGCGCACGGGUGAGUAACACGUGACUAACCUACCCUCGAGUGGGGAAUAACCUAGAGAAAUCUGGGCUAAUACCGCAUAACACUUACGAGUCAAAGCAGUAAUGCGCUUGAGGAGGGGGUCGCGGCCGAUUAGCUAGUUGGCGGGGUAAUGGCCCACCAAGGCGAUGAUCGGUAUCCGGCCUGAGAGGGCGCACGGACACACUGGAACUGAAACACGGUCCAGACUCCUACGGGAGGCAGCAGUGGGGAAUUUUGCGCAAUGGGGGAAACCCUGACGCAGCAACGCCGCGUGGAGGAUGAAAUCCCUUGGGAUGUAAACUCCUUUCGAUCGGGACGAUUAUGACGGUACCGGAAGAAGAAGCCCCGGCUAACUUCGUGCCAGCAGCCGCGGUAAUACGAGGGGGGCAAGCGUUGUUCGGAAUUAUUGGGCGUAAAGGGCGCGUAGGCGGUCUGACAAGUCUGAUGUGAAAUCUCUGGGCUCAACCCAGAGUCUGCAUUAGAAACUGUCGGGCUUGAGUAUGGGAGAGGUGAGUGGAAUUUCCGGUGUAGCGGUGAAAUGCGUAGAUAUCGGAAGGAACACCUGUGGCGAAAGCGGCUCACUGGACCAUAACUGACGCUGAGGCGCGAAAGCUAGGGGAGCAAACAGGAUUAGAUACCCCGGUAGUCC